rfam:TPA: Bos taurus chromosome 2, whole genome shotgun sequence.
UAUCUCAGUUGGUACAGAGUCUGCCUGCAAUGCAGGAGACCUGGGUUCAAUUCCUGG